AUUGAACGCUGGCGGCAGGCUUAACACAUGCAAGUCGAACGGUAGCAGGAGAAAGCUUGCUUUCUUGCUGACGAGUGGCGGACGGGUGAGUAAUGCUUGGGAAUCUGGCUUAUGGAGGGGGAUAACGACGGGAAACUGUCGCUAAUACCGCGUAGUGUCGAGAGAUGAAAGUGCGGGACCUUCGGGCCGCAUGCCAUAGGAUGAGCCCAAGUGGGAUUAGGUAGUUGGUGGGGUAAAGGCCUACCAAGCCGACGAUCUCUAGCUGGUCUGAGAGGAUGACCAGCCACACCGGGACUGAGACACGGCCCGGACUCCUACGGGAGGCAGCAGUGGGGAAUAUUGCGCAAUGGGGCAACCCUGACGCAGCCAUGCCGCGUGAAUGAAGAAGGCCUUCGGGUUGUAAAGUUCUUUCGGUAUUGAGGAAGGUUGUUGUGUUAAUAGCACGACAAAUUGACGUUAAAUACAGAAGAAGCACCGGCUAACUCCGUGCCAGCAGCCGCGGUAAUACGGAGGGUGCGAGCGUUAAUCGGAAUAACUGGGCGUAAAGGGCACGCAGGCGGUUAUUUAAGUGAGGUGUGAAAGCCCUGGGCUUAACCUAGGAAUUGCAUUUCAGACUGGGUAACUAGAGUACUUUAGGGAGGGGUAGAAUUCCACGUGUAGCGGUGAAAUGCGUAGAGAUGUGGAGGAAUACCGAAGGCGAAGGCAGCCCCUUGGGAAUGUACUGACGCUCAUGUGCGAAAGCGUGGGGAGCAAACAGG
rnacentral:rRNA from 1 species